GUUCGGCCCAACGUUUCCUGUAGUCCAUGAUCAGCUCCAUUGUCUUGCUCACAUUGAGAGAGAGGUUGUUGUCAAACACGCAGUCGUGGGUGAGCAGGGAACACAGGAUCCAGUUUCAGAGGGAGGUGUUUAGUCCCAGGGUCCUUAGCUCAGUGAUGAGCUUCGUGGGCACUAUGGUGUUGAACGCUGAACUGUAGUCAAAGAACAGCAUUUUCAUAUAGGUGUUCCUUUUGUCCAGGUGGAAAAGGGCAGUGUGGAGUGUGAUUGAGAUUGCUUCAUCUGUGGAUCUGUUGGGGCGGUAUGACCAGCCUUUCAAAGCACUUCAUGGCUACCGACGUGAGUGCUAUAGGGCAGUAAUCACUUUCUCAAAACAUAAGAGUCUACAGGAGUGCCCACCGGGCUACGCAAUGAAAAGUUGACAGGCAAGUCAAAAAAAAAAAUCCCGGAACGUUAGCCAACUAGUUAACUAUCUAGUCAACACGUUGGAUACGAGUACCAUAUCAAGUGAACCCACUCUGAGCACCUCCUCGCCUCCAAUGACUGCAGCUCAAGAUGGAGGGACAGACGGACAAUUGGGGAUCACCUUGACCGAGGGGUAUCAUCGUCGUUAGCUGAGAACAACAUGCGACCACAUGCAACCAGAACGAACCCCUCAGCAUUUUGGGAAUUCGGAGAAUGACGUCUGUUGCCAGAGCACCGGAACAUUUGCGGAAUUUUGAUACUACUGGUUUGCCAAUAUACGCUGGCUUCACAAAUGAGAAUCCUAACCCAUCGGACCAAGCACCACAGGAUCUACAUUUUCCAGCAGAAUUGUCGCCACUUUCCUCUGGGCCUACCUCCAGCUGCUCUGCUUCCCCUCCUUCCGACCCGGAGCUCCGAGGAACAUGAACCGGAGGCCAUGAUGGAAACGUUACCGGAGAGCUGUAACCAUACAUCAAAGGUCAUCCUCCCGUUAAUGUUUUUCGACGAUCUGCAUGAUCCCCCAGUGUCUGAUUGUUAAAUUCUCCCCAUUUUGUCCUUACGUUUUUCAAAGCAGUGCUAAGGACAUUGUGACAGAGAUGUAGCAGUACCAGGGAUUACUCAUCAACAACCUCCGGGAUCAGCUCAUAAUGGUAUUUCAGAAUUUAGGAAGUCAACUGGAAACAUUUGACACAUUUGAAGAUCCAUUUGCAAGAUAUUUAUAUGACAUUGUAGACGGGGACCUUAUAAGAUCACCUCCAUUUUUUUCUGUGAAACCCACUGCUUUACAAUUGUUUUUUAUACAGACAAAAUUGAGUUGUGUAAUGCUUUAGGCUCCCAUACCUCAAAGAAGAAGUUACUUAUGGUUUAUUAUAUGUUAGGAAUAUCAAUUGCAAAAUGACAUGACCUUCCUCAGUAUGGGGUUGAUGCGAUAUUGCAAAGAAUUCAAGAGGACUUGGUUCUAUUGUACAAUGGUGUUCAAAUUCUAACUGUCAAUGGGGAGAGAGAGAUAUACAGCGCCUUUGGAAAGUAUUCAGACCCCUUGACUUUUUCCACAUUUUGUUAUGUUACAGCCUUAUUCUAAAAUGUAUUAAAUUGUUAGUUCUUUCCUCAUCAAUCUACACAAUACCACAUAAUAACAAAGCAAAAAUAGUUUUGACAUUUUUGCAAAU
rnacentral:lncRNA from 13 species